CAUGCAAGUCGAACGAGAAAGUCCGAGCUUGCUCGGAUGAGUAAAGUGGCGCACGGGUGAGUAACGCGUGGGUAACCUGCCCUCGAAACCGGGAUAACUUCGCGAAAGCGUUGCUAAUACCGGAUAUUGUCCUUUUUACUGUGGUAUUAAGGAUGAAAGAUGACCUCUUCAUGAAAGUUGUCGUUCAAGGAGGGGCCCGCGUACCAUUAGCUUGUUGGUAGGGUAAUGGCCUACCAAGGCUACGAUGGUUAGCUGGUUUGAGAGGAUGAUCAGCCACACUGGAACUGAAACACGGUCCAGACUCCUACGGGAGGCAGCAGUGAGGAAUUUUGCGCAAUGGGGGAAACCCUGACGCAGCAACGCCGCGUGAGUGAAGAAGGCCUUAGGGUCGUAAAGCUCUGUCAAGUGGGAAAAAAGCCUUUUGAUCAAUAGUCAAAGGGUCUGAUGGUAACACUGGAGGAAGCACCGGCUAACUCCGUGCCAGCAGCCGCGGUAAUACGGAGGGUGCAAGCGUUGUUCGGAUUUAUUGGGCGUAAAGAGCGUGUAGGCGGUUUGGUAAGUCAGAUGUGAAAGCCCUGGGCUCAACCCAGGAAGUGCAUUUGAUACUGCCUGACUAGAGUAUGGGAGAGGAGAGUGGAAUUCCCAGUGUAGAGGUGAAAUUCGUAGAUAUUGGGAGGAACACCCGUGGCGAAGGCGACUCUCUGGACCAAUACUGACGCUGAGACGCGAAAGCGUGGGGAGCGAACAGGAUUAGAUACCCUGGUAGUCCACGCCGUAAACGAUGAGAACUAGGUGUAGCGGGUAUUGACCCCUGCUGUGCCGGAGCUAACGCAUUAAGUUCUCCGCCUGGGGAGUACGGUCGCAAGGCUAAAACUCAAAGGAAUUGACGGGGGCCCGCACAAGCGGUGGAGCAUGUGGUUUAAUUCGACGCAACGCGAAGAACCUUACCUGGAUUUACAUCCUCUGACACCCCUGGAAACAGGGCUUUUUCGACUUGUCGAAACAGAGUGACAGGUGCUGCAUGGCUGUCGUCAGCUCGUGUCGUGAGAUGUUGGGUUAAGUCCCGCAACGAGCGCAACCCUUGUCUUCAGUUGCCAGUAUUAAGUUAGGCACUCUGAAGAUACUGCCUCGAUUAACGAGGAGGAAGGUGGGGAUGACGUCAAGUCCUCAUGGCCUUUAUAUCCAGGGCUACACACGUGCUACAAUGGGCUGUACAAAGGGUCGCGAAACCGCAAGGUCAAGCCAAUCCCAAAAAGCAGCUCUCGGUUCGGAUUGGAGUCUGCAACUCGACUCCAUGAAGUUGGAAUCGCUAGUAAUCGUGGAUCAGCAUGCCACGGUGAAUACGCUCCCGGGCCUUGUACAC
rnacentral:rRNA from 1 species